rnacentral:rRNA from 1 species
CCUACGGGGUGCAGCAUUAGGGAAUCUUCGGCAAUGGACGAAAGUCUGACCGAGCAACGCCGCGUGAGUGAAGAAGGUUUUCGGAUCGUAAAACUCUGUUGUUAGAGAAGAACAAGUAGGAGAGUAACUGCUCUUACCUUGACGGUAUCUAACCAGAAAGCCACGGCUAACUACGUGCCAGCAGCCGCGGUAAUACGUAGGUGGCAAGCGUUGUCCGGAUUUAUUGGGCGUAAAGCGAGCGCAGGCGGUCUUUUAAGUCUGAUGUGAAAGCCCUCGGCUCAACCGAGGAAGGUCAUUGGAAACUGGAGGACUUGAGUGCUGAAGAGGAGAGUGGAAUUUCAUGUGUGGCGGUGAAAUGCGUAGAUAUAUGGAGGAACACCAGUGGCGAAGGCGACUCUCUGGUCUGUAUCUGACGCUGAGGCUCGAAAGCGUGGGGAGCAAACAGGAUUAGAUACCCCUGUAGUC